GGAGGACAGAGGAAGGUCACAACGAAAGUGAGGCUGAAUGUCCAGAAACCGGGGAGCGCUGCCCCUCGGUGUUUCAAGGUCGAGAUGGAAACACAAAUCUCUGCAAAGGACAAAAUGGGGCUGAGUGAGAGCUCAUUUAGCUGUCGGUUAUGCCACAUGGCACUUUGAAAGCAUCAGUCUAUUUCCGUUAUUUUGGGUAGCAACUCUGAGCUGCUUAAUAUUUCCAAAAGCUUAGACAAUAAUCCAUUACACACUGAUUAAUGAUUGCACUUUUGCUCCGUUGUAUGUGCAAAUGUGCAUCCAAGGCCUAUAGUAGUGAAGGACAGCGUGUCCAUGACGAGUGUGCACAAUGGCCAUUAUUUCAUGGAAGAUAUUUCAGAAGAACGUUCAACAUUUUAUAAACAAUAACAUGCCGAGUGUUUCACUGAUGAGACAAGAAUAAGUUGGUGCAAUUUUUGACCAUAUUUAACCCUUCCCUUCUAUUCGUUGGAAGGUGUUGAAGAAAAACCGCUGUGAAGAAAAUCUACUCUGAUUUGAUCAAUGUUUCUCCCUUAUAAAAAGGUGAUCGUAUUGUCCCCAAACGUGUUGCAUUUCGAUGUUUGUGUUCAACUGAUCGGUAUGCAAGAAGGCUAUGAAACAGAGUGUUGCAUUGUUCUGCCCUUAUUACACCGUGACUUUUAGUGCUCACGUUGCCAGCAAUGUUCCCCCUUCCCUCCUUGAGUCCACACGGUUCAGAGAUGGAUGUGGGAUGCAGGCUCAAUCAACCUACAAACUUGCGCAACAAACACAUUAUGCUGCAGAAGCAAUGACUCCCAUGUAUCUCCCAUUCAACUGAAUUUAAGCAUCCAGAUGUUUUCCAUCGAAGCUGGUUGUUAUCAAGCGUAUUUUACGGGGCAGCUAUGAACACAUACAGAUGCUUUCAUUUUGUACAUUUCGCAUGUCUGUGUGCGUGCGUUGUCUGUGAAUGGGUUUCCUGUUGUGUUCGGAUAAGGGUGUCAAGUUUGAAAAUGUC
ensembl:lncRNA